rnacentral:rRNA from 1 species
AGGGCACCACCAGGAGUGGAGCCUGCGGCUUAAUUUGACUCAACACGGGAAAACUCACCCGGCCCGGACACUGGAAGGAUUGACAGAUUGAGAGCUCUUUCUUGAUUCAGUGGGUGGUGGUGCAUGGCCGUUCUUAGUUGGUGGGGUGAUUUGUCUGGUUAAUUCCGAUAACGAACGAGACUCUAGCCUACUAAAUAGAUCGUCGGCUUACAAACGCCGGCGAGACUUCUUAGAGGGACAGGCGGUGAUUCAACCGCACGAAACAGAGCAAUAACAGGUCUGUGAUGCCCUUAGAUGUCCGGGGCCGCACGCGCGCUACACUGAAGUGAUCAGCGUGCUUUUUCAACCUACUCUAUCACGAGUGGGGAACCCAAUGAACCUUCUUCGUGAUUGGGAUAGGGGAUUGUAAUUAUUCCCCUUGAACGAGGAAUUCCCAGUAAGCGCGAGUCAUAAGCUCGCGUUGAUCACGUCCCUGCCCUUUGUACACACCGCCCGUCGCUACUACCGAUUGAAUGUUUU